AGGACGAACGCUGGCGGCGUGCCUAAUACAUGCAAGUCGAACGGUCUUUCUAUGGAAGCUUGCUUCCACUGAGAAGAUAGUGGCGAACGGGUGAGUAACACGUGGGUAACCUGCCCAUAAGAGGGGGGAUAACGUCCGGAAACGGGUGCUAAUACCGCAUAGUUUUCUUGAUCGCAUGAUCGGGAAAGGAAAGACGGCCUUUGUGCUGUCGCUUAUGGAUGGACCCGCGGCGUAUUAGUUAGUUGGUGAGGUAACGGCUCACCAAGACGAUGAUACGUAGCCGACCUGAGAGGGUGAUCGGCCACAUUGGGACUGAGACACGGCCCAAACUCCUACGGGAGGCAGCAGUAGGGAAUCUUCCGCAAUGGACGAAAGUCUGACGGAGCAACGCCGCGUGAGUGAAAGAAGGUUUUCGGAUCGUAAAACUCUGUUGUCAGAGAAGAACAAGUUGGAGAGUAACUGCUCCAGCCUUGACGGUAUCUGACCAGAAAGCCACGGCUAACUACGUGCCAGCCGCGGC
rnacentral:rRNA from 1 species